UGAGGAUGUGGCUUAGUGGUAGAGUGCUUGCCUAGCAUGAGUAAGGCUCUGAGUUGGACCCCCAGCACCACAA
rnacentral:tRNA from 1 species